rnacentral:rRNA from 1 species
UCGGUGACAGGUGUGCAUGGUUGUCGUCAGCUCGUGUCGUGAGAUGUUGGGUUAAGUCCCGCAACGAGCGCAACCCCUAUUGUUAGUUGCCAUCAUUCAGUUGGGCACUCUAGCGAGACUGCCGGUAAUAAACCGGAGGAAGUGGGGAUGACGUCAAAUCAUCAUGCCCCUUAUGACCUGGGCUACACACGUGCUACAAUGGUUGGUACAACGAGUUGCGAGUCGGUGACGGCGAGCUAAUCUCUUAAAGCCAAUCUCAGUUCGGAUUGUAGGCUGCAACUCGCCUACAUGAAGUCGGAAUCGCUAGUAAUCGCGGAUCAGCACGCCGCGGUCGAAUACGUUCCCGGGCCUU